AAUAUAUUAAAACUUGUAAUUGAAAUAUCUUCAGAGGAGAAGUUAUAAUUGCUUAUGAAUAUUGUACAUUAAUUAAAAUAACCUCACAUCUGCGUACAACUACAUUGUAGUGUGAUAUAAACCUCUAAAGGUUUGUGCCCUGCUUGUAAGUACAAAACAGGAAAACCUCCAGGAAAGUGUCCCCUGUAUUCUGCAUCAUGGGUAGUAUGGUAUCAUACUACUAUUACAAUGAUUACUGUACAUUUUCAUGUUUUCUGUAAAUAAAAAUAACUUGACAUUGUUUUUCAGAUGUUUUUAUUUAACUUUAAUGGCAACCUGAAAGAAAAUAUCCUCAGGUUUUA